rnacentral:rRNA from 1 species
AUUGAACGCUGGCGGCAGGCCUAACACAUGCAAGUCGAGCGGUAGAGAGGUGCUUGCAUCUCUGAGAGCGGCGGACGGGUGAGUAAUGCCUAGGAAUCUGCCUGGUGGUGGGGGAUAACGUUCGGAAACGGACGCUAAUACCGCAUACGUCCUACGGGAGAAAGCGGGGGAUCUUCGGACCUCGCGCCAUUAGAUGAGCCUAGGUCGGAUUAGCUAGUUGGUGAGGUAAUGGCUCACCAAGGCGACGAUCCGUAACUGGUCUGAGAGGAUGAUCAGUCACACUGGAACUGAGACACGGUCCAGACUCCUACGGGAGGCAGCAGUGGGGAAUAUUGGACAAUGGGCGAAAGCCUGAUCCAGCCAUGCCGCGUGUGUGAAGAAGGUCUUCGGAUUGUAAAGCACUUUAAGUUGGGAGGAAGGGUAGUAACCUAAUACGUUGCUACUUUGACGUUACCGACAGAAUAAGCACCGGCUAACUUCGUG